rnacentral:rRNA from 1 species
UGAACGCUGGCGGCGUGCCUAAUACAUGCAAGUCGAGCGAACAGACGAGGAGCUUGCUCCUCUGACGUUAGCGGCGGGCGGGUGAGUAACACGUGGAUAACCUACCUAUAAGACUGGGAUAACUUCGGGAAACCGGAGCUAAUACCGGAUAAUAUAUUGAACCGCAUGGUUCAAUAGUGAAAGACGGUUUUGCUGUCACUUAUAGAUGGAUCCGCGCCGCAUUAGCUAGUUGGUAAGGUAACGGCUUACCAAGGCAACGAUGCGUAGCCGACCUGAGAGGGUGAUCGGCCACACUGGAACUGAGACACGGUCCAGACUCCUACGGGAGGCAGCAGUAGGGAAUCUUCCGCAAUGGGCGAAAGCCUGACGGAGCAACGCCGCGUGAGUGAUGAAGGUCUUCGGAUCGUAAAACUCUGUUAUUAGGGAAGAACAAAUGUGUAAGUAACUAUGCACGUCUUGACGGUACCUAAUCAGAAAGCCACGGCUAACUACGUG